GACGAACGCUGGCGGCGUGCCUAAUACAUGCAAGUUGAGCGAUGAAGCUUGGUGCUUGCACCAAUUUGAAGAGCAGCGAACGGGUGAGUAACGCGUGGGGAAUCUGCCUUUGAGCGGGGGACAACAUUUGGAAACGAAUGCUAAUACCGCAUAAUAACUUUAAACAUAAGUUUUAAGUUUGAAAGAUGCAAUUGCAUCACUCAAAGAUGAUCCCGCGUUGUAUUAGCUAGUUGGUGAGGUAAAGGCUCACCAAGGCGAUGAUACAUAGCCGACCUGAGAGGGUGAUCGGCCACAUUGGGACUGAGACACGGCCCAAACUCCUACGGGAGGCAGCAGUAGGGAAUCUUCGGCAAUGGACGAAAGUCUGACCGAGCAACGCCGCGUGAGUGAAGAAGGGUUUCGGAUCGUAAAACUCUGUUGGUAGAGAAGAGCGUUGGUGAGAGUGGAAAGCUCAUCAAGUGACGGUAACUACCCAGAAAGGGACGGCUAACUACGUG
rnacentral:rRNA from 1 species